rnacentral:rRNA from 1 species
AGAGUUUGAUCAUGGCUCAGAACGAACGCUGGCGGCAGGCUUAACACAUGCAAGUCGAGCGCGCGCCUUCGGGUGCGAGCGGCGGACGGGUGAGUAACGCGUGGGAACGUGCCCUCUUCUACGGAAUAGCCCAGGGAAACUUGGAUUAAUGCCGUAUGCGCCCCGUGAGGGGGAAAGAUUUAUCGGAGGAGGAUCGGCCCGCGUCGGAUUAGGUAGUUGGUGGGGUAAUGGCCUACCAAGCCGACGAUCCGUAGCUGGUUUGAGAGGAUGAUCAGCCACACUGGGACUGAGACACGGCCCAGACUCCUACGGGAGGCAGCAGUGGGGAAUCUUGGACAAUGGGGGCAACCCUGAUCCAGCCAUGCCGCGUGGACGAUGAAGGCCUUAGGGUUGUAAAGUCCUUUCAGCGGGGAAGAUAAUGACGGUACCCGCAGAAGAAGCCCCGGCUAACUCCGUGCCAGCCGCCGCGGUAAUUC